UCCUGAUUACCUGGGUCCCCCUGGGUCUGACCGUGUAUGCUCCUGGGCAGCCUGCAUUAAUAGCCUGGCUGUCCCUGAGGGAAACCUAGGUAGAGGUUGCAGGUUACUUGCCUAAGGCCACGGAGCAAGUACACAGAAGAAACAGUGGUUCUCUCUAUCUCUAAAGGCCACAUUUCCAAGGUCAUGCUGCCUCCAGGGAAGGCUUGGUGAAAAAGAAAAAACUUAACCUGAGCCAGAAAUAUCAAAGAAGCAGGAGAACAUUUUCAGAAGGACUUAUAAGAUUGAAUACUGCUUAGCCAUUUCAGAGAGGGCUGUGUUUGCUGCUUCCUGCUUUGUUUAUUAUUAAGUGCUUCCAAAUAAGGAACAAGUGUCUACAGGAAAGGGAAAUGAGUCUUUGAAUCUGCAAGAGGAUGCUAGAGGACAUCUUCAGCAAUUUUAAUAAUAGCUUCGGAAUAGAUGCCUGCAUGAUCUUGAAAUGAUGACAAAUAAAAUCCUAAAGAGCUUUAUUGCCUCAGGGAAGAAAUGGUAAAAUUGGGGAGGAUAAACAUAAAAUAAAUAGAAGUUGA